GGGGCUGAUUCUGGAUUCGACGGGAUUCGCGAAACCCAAGGUGCAUGCCGAGGUGCGGUGGCCUCGUAAAAAACCGCAAAAAAAUAGUCGCAAACGACGAAAACUACGCACUAGCAGCUUAAUACCCUGCUUAGAGCCCUCUCUCCCUAGCCUCCGCUCUUAGGACGGGGAUCAAGAGAGGUCAAAACUAAAAGAGCUCGUGUGGAAACCUUGCCUGGGGUGGAAGCAUUAAAACUAAUCAGGAUAGUUUGUCAGUGGCGUGUCCAUCCGCAGCUGGCCGGCGAAUGUAAUGAUUGGACUAAGCAUGUAGUACCGACGGUGUAGUAAUUUCGGACGGGGGUUCAAAUCCCCCCAGCUCCACCA
rnacentral:tmRNA from 2 species